CUCGUAGGUGGUCUGUUACGUCUGCUGUGAAAUCCUAGGGCUUAACCCUGGGCCUGCAGUGGAUACGGGCAGACUAGAGGUAGGUAGGGGAGAAUGGAAUUCCCGGUGUAGCGGUGAAAUGCGCAGAUAUCGGGAGGAACACCGGUGGCGAAGGCGGUUCUCUGGGCCUUACCUGACACUGAGGAGCGAAAGCGUGGGGAGCGAACA
rnacentral:rRNA from 1 species